rnacentral:rRNA from 1 species
UACGUAGGGUGCGAGCGUUGUCCGGAAUUAUUGGGCGUAAAGAGCUCGUAGGCGGCUUGUCGCGUCUGCUGUGAAAUCCCGGGGCUUAACCCCGGGCGUGCAGUGGAUACGGGCAGGCUGGAGGCAGGCAGGGGAGAACGGAAUUCCCGGUGUAGCGAUGAAAUGCGCAGAUAUCGGGAGGAACACCGGUGGCGAAGGCGGUUCUCUGGGCCUGUUCUGACGCUGAGGAGCGAAAGCGUGGGGAGCGAACAGGAUUAGAAACCCCAGUAGUCC